GAAGCUAAGUCAAAUGCCUUGCUCUGAUUAUAAACUUAUUACUGCCAGUAAUAUGAAAAAUGAAGGAAGUCGCAAAAUCAAAAGGAGUAGAGUAUCUUGACAGUGGUAGGGAGUGGUCAUGACUUAAGUUAAAACGAGAAAUGAGUGAAACUUUAUUCUUAUUGUUUAUGAUUUACUUGUGAAAGUGCAUUGGGGACACUAA
rnacentral:misc_RNA from 1 species